GUGGGAGGCAGGGUGAGUGAGGAACGAAGAUGGGUCUGGAAAGGUAAAAUGAGGGACUGGGUCCUCAAGACCUUACAGCCUAUCACCAUCCUGGCCAGCAAUAGCACUUCACCAGGAUUCAAGAGGAGUAAAGGGGUAAGGGAUAAAAUGGAAGUUAGGGAAGCUGAAUUUUGAGCUGAAGGAUCUGCGACCUUGGAACCUGACUUUCUGCUUUAGCUUGGCUGUUGAGAACGUUCUUGAUUGUGGAGAAGUAAUUCCUACUAGGAAGCAAUUUGUAUCCAAGAGCUAUCAUGUUUCAAACAGCAUUAGUAGAAGCAUUUAGCAGUGCUGAUCAACUUGGAUAAAUUUGGAAGAGAAAACAGAGAUUUGUAAAUUAUUAUGGGAAACAGAAUCUGCAGAUUGGUGGGAGGAGGGAAAAAAGACUAGAGGAGGAAGGAAGCCAUAUCCUAAAAAGACAAGAGCUUGGUUAUAUACUGGCGGUGUUGUAGGGAGAGAGAAAAUUGCACUAAGCUGCUCUAGUGUCCGGCUCCCUCUGGAAAGCACUGUGAUUUGGGGUAAAAUAGCCUCGGAUGGCGAGCAAGCAGAAUUAAAGCCCAUCAACCCAGGAGCGCCUGGCUGACAAGUCCAGCAGUAAUGGUGAGGAGAGACAGCAGUUGAUCUGGAAUCAACCGAAACCUGGUUCCAGAGCUUGAUAUGAACAUAAGUUACUCCACCGGCAAUCAGAAAAUGAUGUUUGACUAUUUAUGAUCACUGACUUGGGCUGAGAAAAUCCUGGAUUUGAAGUGAGGAGUGGGAUGGAGGUUGCAUAGAGCGCCUGUGGGGGAAGCCUUGGCAGGUACCGAGGAAUGAGUUUGGCAGGAACUAGCCCAUCAGGUGCAUGGGCCAUAAAAUGAGGCCAUGAG
rnacentral:lncRNA from 1 species